rnacentral:rRNA from 1 species
CACCGGCACCUCGAGUGGUAGCCACUAUUAUUGGGCCUAAAGCAUCCGUAGCCGGCUCUGUAAGUUUUCGGUUAAAUCCAUGUGCUCAACGCAUGGGCUGCCGAAAAUACUGCAUAGCUAGGGAGUGGGAGAGGUAGACGGUACUCGGUAGGAAGGGGUAAAAUCCUUUGAUCUAUCGAUGACCACCUGUGGCGAAGGCGGUCUACCAGAACACGUUCGACGGUGAGGGAUGAAAGCUGGGGGAGCAAACCGG